AGCUUUGCGCCAUGGCAGUAUCGUAGCCAAUGAGGUUUAUCCAAGGCACAAUUAUUGCUAAUUGAAAAAAAUAAAAUAAAGUAAUUCUUUUGUUGUAUCUCAGUAC
rnacentral:snRNA from 1 species